rnacentral:rRNA from 1 species
UUAGUGGCGGACGGGUGAGUAACGCGUGGGUAACCUGCCUCAUACAGGGGGAUAACAGUUAGAAAUGACUGCUAACACCGCAUAAUAUAGCGAAACCGCAUGAUUUUGCUAUCAAAUAUUUAGUAGGUAUGAGAGUCGGGCCCGCGUCUGAUUAGCUAGGUUGGUAGGGGUAAAACGCCUACCAAGGCGACGAUCAGUAGCCGGCUUGAGAGAGUGACCGGCCACAUUGGGACUGAGACACGGCCCAAACUCCUACGGGAGGCAGCAGUGGGGAAUAUUGGACAAUGGGGGAAACCCUGAUCCAGCGACGCCCGCGUGAGUGAAGAAGUAUUUCGGUAUGUAAAGCUCUAUCAGCAGGGAAGAUAAUGACAGUACCUGACUAAGAAGCCCCGGCUAACUACGUGCCAGCAGCAGC